CCUACGGGCUGCACCAGUGGGGAAUAUUGCACAAUGGGCGCAAGCCUGAUGCAGCCAUGCCGCGUGUAUGAAGAAGGCCUUCGGGUUGUAAAGUACUUUCAGCGGGGAGGAAGGUGUUGAGGUUAAUAACCUCAGCAAUUGACGUUACCCGCAGAAGAAGCACCGGCUAACUCCGUGCCAGCAGCCGCGGUAAUACGGAGGGUGCAAGCGUUAAUCGGAAUUACUGGGCGUAAAGCGCACGCAGGCGGUCUGUCAAGUCGGAUGUGAAAUCCCCGGGCUCAACCUGGGAACUGCAUUCGAAACUGGCAGGCUAGAGUCUUGUAGAGGGGGGUGGAAUUCCAGGUGUAGCGGUGAAAUGCGUAGAGACCUGGAGGAAUACCGGUGGCGAGGGCGGCCCCCUGGACAAAGACUGACGCUCAGGUGCGAAAGCGUGGGGAGCAAACAGGAUUAGAUACCCCCGUAGUC
rnacentral:rRNA from 1 species